GGAAGCGAUGUACAUCGAUGAUGGAGUUAUGAAAACCCGACAUUGAGAUGCAUCCCCCGAAGAUUCCAGCGAUUCCAAUCUCAGUAUAUUUGACGGCUGCUGUUCCAUUGAUGAGUGUCACUUCCUGACCUCGCCCAAGGCUGCAAGCCAGUGCAAUGUUUCCAUUUGAUCUCCUCGAGAGGAUCCUGUUACAACCUGAUCAGCAGAGCCGUGGAGCAGCUGAACACAGAACUCUAGGCAUGUGAUUUUCCUGUCACCUUAGUAAACAGGUCUGUGGGUGUUUGGUGAAAACGUUCUCUUGUCUUGGAAGAGCCACAGAGCUCUUCACAGGUUAGGCCCCAGCAGGAGGGACAGCUGCCAGCACAGCAAAGCCAUGUGGGUUGGUGGCACAGGCAGCAGACAAGAUCCCUGCAAACUCAGGCUACACAAGUCAGUAAAGAGCAAUGAAUCUUUUGGUGGUUUCUCCAUUCAGUAACGGUAAUUGAUUUUUACAUUGAUUGGUGGGAAAAGAGCCCCAUUAAUAUGAAUAAGAUUUCAUACUGGAUAUACACAUACUUGUUCCUGUGGUGCUGUAAGGAAUACAAAAAGCUCUGUAUAAAUCAGUUUGAAUUAGUAAUAUAACUUUUAGAUGCACUUUGCCUCUCUUCCUCAUUGUUUAUUCAAUGUUUGAGAACGGUCUGUAUCCUGUCUAUCCACAUGUAUUUUUCAUGCUGUAAGCAGAAAUCACUAGUACACCAAGAGUACAGGUUGCAUGCUUUGGAAGAGAAAGAUCUGACCACGAUGCUGACCUUGUCUUUGCCAUAAGUAAAAAACAAUAAAAUAAUUUCCCUCUUUAAA